rnacentral:rRNA from 1 species
GACGAACGCUGGCGGCGUGCCUAAUACAUGCAAGUAGAACGCACAGUUUAUACCGUAGCUUGCUACACCAUAGACUGUGAGUUGCGAACGGGUGAGUAACGCGUAGGUAACCUGCCUGGUAUCGGGGGAUAACUAUUGGAAACGAUAGCUAAUACCGCAUAAUAUUAAUUAUUCCAUGAUAAUUAAUUGAAAGGUGCAAUUGCACCACUACCAGAUGGACCUGCGUUGUAUUAGCUAGUAGGUGAGGUAACGGCUCACCUAGGCGACGAUACAUAGCCGACCUGAGAGGGGGAUCGGCCAAACUGGGAAUGAGACAAGGGCCAGACUCCUACGGGAGGCAGCAGGAGGGAAUCUUCGGCAAUGGACGAAAGUCUGAACGAGCAACGCCGCGGGAGUGAAGAAGGUUGUCGGAUCGUAAAGCUCUGUUGUAAGAGAAGAAAGAGAGUGAGAGUGGAAAGUGCACACUGUGACGGUAUCUUACCAGAAAGGGACGGCUAACUACGUG